GCCGCCCCAGUCACUAAGGCCGGCCCGCGGCCGGACACUGGCGGAGCGGAGGAGGAGCGGGCCCGGCUGCGCGGCGCCGGCGUCUACGUGCCCGACGUCGAGCGCGUCGGCGCGAGCGUCAGCACCGCCCCGGGGGCGGGGCCCGAGGAGCACCUUGGCCCGAUUUCCCCCCACGGCUGCAGGGACGCCGGAGGCCUUUGCUGAGUGUCUACCGCGCCUCGAGUUCUGAGCUGGACGCGUCCGGCACGUCAGGUCCCUCCCGAGCUGGAGGCUCUGGAUUCGCACCUUGCAGAAGAGCGAACCGAGGCUUCAGUCACCACCGAGGACCCAGACCCCGCCCGCCGCGGCGCCCCUACGGUCUCCCUGGGCCUGAUCUGGGUUCAGAAGGACGGAGUUCCCGCCAGGACCCACUUACGGAGCGCUGCCUGCCGCACCUGGGGACGUCCCGGCGCAGCGUCCAGAGUGCAGGCUUUGCCGCUGUGGCUUUCACUCUGCAGCGUGGGCCCGGGCGACUCGGGAAACCCGCCUGGGCUUCAGCGCCUCCGAUGUAGGAUGGGAAAAUGAUGCAGACCUACCUGCGAGGCUGCUUUAAGACAUGAAUCAGAUGUGAAGAGCGACUAGUUGAGAGCCUGACGGGCAGCACUGCGCGAGUCUUGGUCAUUUCAUCUUUUCCGCAAGUUUUUUUUUUUUUCCAGACGUUGUUUCACUCUUGUCACCCAGGCUGGAGUGCAAUGGCGCCAUCUCGGCUCACUGCAACCUCUGCCUCCCGGGUUCAAGUGAUUCUCCUGCCUCAACCUCCCGUGUAGCUGGGAUUACAGGCGCACGCCACCAAGUCCAGAUAAUUUUGUAUUUUUAGUAGAGACGGGAUUUCUACAUGUUGGUCGAGCUGGUCUCGAACUCCUGACCUCAGGUGGUCUGCCCGCCUCAGCCUCCCAAAGUGUUGGGAUUACAGGCGUGAGCCACUGCGCCCGGCCUCAGCAAGAAUUUUUAAACAUCUACUAUGGGCCAAGUCUUGUGCUAGAUGUUGCAGAUACGGAGAUGAAUAGAGACACCUCUAAUUAAUUAAAGCGGAUGCCCUCCCCACUCCUCCCAGGAUUUGACUCGGAGCACAAACUCUUCACAAACCAAAAUGUCAGGACACCAUCGCCAGUGUCCACUGGCCACUGCUGUUGGUGUGAGGCAGCCAGGAGCCCCUCAGAACUAGUAAGUCUGAGAAGAGGCUGCACGGGGCCUAGGAGAGGGAGAAAUGAGCCCGUCCAAGGUGAAUUCCUUGAUUCUCCAUUGUGAGUGCACCAAGAACAAGCACUCCCUCCGACUGACUCUCGCCUACCAGGAUCUGGAACACCUUCCAUUAAUUUAUUCGUUCAUUCAAUAAAUAUUUAUUGACUGACUACACAUAGAUAUGAAUAUGUACUUUUUGCCCCUAGUUUCUUGCUAUUUUAAAAGUGUAAAAAUGGCCAGGUGAGGCCGGGUGCGGUGGCUCAAGCCU
rnacentral:lncRNA from 1 species